rfam:Eubacterium nodatum ATCC 33099 contig00014, whole genome shotgun sequence.
GGGCGCCGUAUGAGCAGGAAACUCUCAUGUACGGUGCUAAGCGGGGGAAAAGGUGGAGACAACAUCAAAGCCUUACCUAUCGCAAU